CCUGAUUCAGCGCUCAGCACCGCCGGUCCCGAUUCCUCAGCGCUCCCCAUCCCCAGAAAGGCUCUAACGCGGCUUGGGAGCGGACAGGUUUUGCUUUUCCUCUGAAUUCCAUUCAGAGAAACAAUUCUGCUGCACUCCCAUUACCAGGCCCCAGCAUGGACGAGACAGCCUCAGUAUGGAGGAGCAAUCAGGGUUACCUUCCUCAUCCACCAUCCUCGCCCUUCUCCGAGUCCGUCUGUUCUUCCUUUCCCAUCUCCUCUCCUCCUUUCGAUGCAGACGCACACUGGGCAAAUCCAAGAGGAGGGAUUGCAGCAAGGAUGCUCAUAAAAUAUUAAUGGUGGACGGCGGUGAACACAAGUAAGAUAAUGAGGGUCUGUGGGAUAUGGGAUGUGUUCAAACCGGCACAGCGAAGGCCUCGUCAGAGGUGGAGGCACGCGAGUGGAGGCUGUUAGUGAGUCCUGAAGGCUCUUUAUCCAUUUCCUUCACGCACAGUUGUUAUGCUGGUCAUGUUCUUCUCACUGCCCAGCCUUGAACCUUCCUCCUGCUGGAAGCUGCCGUGCAGCCAUGCCAAGGCUCCUGCUGUGCCCACCUCGAAGGACAAAGCCAUCGUGCCAUCACCGCUGUGGUGAGCCAUGGUGCAGUCUGGCUUCUGGCACUGACAGCUGAACGCAGCCACUUUCCAGCCCAGCCAUUUCCCGGUGCUCCAUCACUAUCCUGCUGCUCUGACACAGCCGUGUGACAGCUGUGGGGCAGUCAUCCAGGUGGGUUGGCAGGGAUGUGCUCACUGCUGUUCAUUUAUCAAAUGCAACUGAAGGUGUCUGAGCACAGGCUUGCCUCCCUCGUUCACAUCAGUUAUGGUCCUGUCCUGAAGAUUUACCUUUGUAAAAUCCCACAUGCUCAGUUUCAAAGCACUCCAAACCCCAAGUGCUGCUGAUGCCAAGAAGGGGCUCUGUGGCUCCAUGCUAACCCCAGCAAUGUGCAAGGUUAUCCUGCCCUGAGAGCAGAACCAAUAAACAUGGAGAAGCUUGGGAAGAACCACGGUUAAAUUGGUGUCUCCCGGCAGCUUGGCUGUCUCCCCCUCAAGUCACUCCUAUUGCACAUGUCCCAUGCCAGGAUGCUGCUUGUUUCUGGGCAGUCUCUGUGUGUCUGACCCAUCUCCAGCCCUUCCUGUGCUGUUAGCCGUGGUUUGUUCCAAGCUCCUCUGCUGGGAGGCAAAGCCCUUGCUCCCACACCCCUCCUUCAGCCAAUCCCAGAGGCCUUAAACUGCUGUUGGAGCUUUUAUCCCACUGGGAGCCAUAGCAGCGGCAGAUGUUUGCUGUGAUACAGGACAUGACAGCUUUUAUUAGUUGUCAGCUGGAACACAAUAUUUUAGGGUCUUUAGGUUAAAGCAAAGAAGUGCAGCUUGCACGCAUGCCCGUGCUGGCAGCGCAGAACAGCACAGCCCCUCCAUGUCCCUGCUGCACCCUGAGCUCUGCUCCCCACACUGACACGCCAUGGUGUCAACACAAAGGGGAAAGAAACGAUGACACACACACUUUUCCCGUGAAGACCAAAGAAGUUUUCCCAUAUCUCCCAUUUGGGAAACCACGGUUCCUUUUCGUACGUUUGUACUUUGUACAUCGAUAUUACCAGUUCCAAGGAGCCUGCAGCCCAGCGCAUUGCUUGUGGUGCUGGGAACAGCCUCAUCUGUCCCAGCACUGCAGCUCCCAGAGGAGCCUGGCCAGCUGAAGUGUUUCACAGUGUGACCGCUGUUCUGGAGCAGGUGGGGAUGGUUUGUGCCCAGCUUGGUGAUCCCACAGCGCCUGCAACUCAAAGGUGAGUUUUCCAAUUGGUCAGCAAAACCCCUGGGGGGGGAGGAUAGACAGAAGGAAGGUCACAAAACCAAUUUGUGAUGGUGGCUCUGAAGCUGUGAGUGCACAGGGUGCAGCUCCAGCAGCAAACAUUGGUGCUGCCACAUCCCCAGCUCUACUCCUGCAGUUCCCAGCUCCAUGUUCUGGAGGAAAUCCCAUCCCAGCAUGGAUCUCUGGAAUGAGGAGGCGCAGUGUGACAGAAUGGUGAGAAGCUGCCUCCUCAAGGCUGCAGCACCAGCAAUCUCAUCUGUUAGGAUCAGGCACAGAGCACUUGGAAGGGCUUGCUUUGCUGGAAGGGUUCUGCUUCACACUUUCUCCUCCAUUUCCAUCACCCUCAAGUGUCAGAAAGGGGAAGAGUGCUGCAGCCAUGAAAGGUGUUUCUGGACACCGCAGGAAGCAGUGAUUAAUCUCAAUUACAUGGUUGGACUGGGAAUAAUCUGGAGCAGCAGAUUGGGUUACGCUCCCUUCGUUCUGUGGCUAUGGGGGGCGGCCCCGGCUUGAGGAGACACCAGGAGAUAUUUUGACUGCUGAAGUGCCAAACUUAACCCCACUGUAACUGCACCUGUGGGGAAGUAUGUAUGUUGGUUUUUGCUUCCUGAGCCCUCCGGACAGCCAACAUUUACGCAGCUGCCACCUCUUUAUCAUGGACCGUGCAUAACAGUUCUCACCUUGGCACAUCCUUCCAAGAUCAUUUUAUCAAAAUGAAAUGAAAUAAAAUAAAAUAAAGGCAAGAGAGGCUAAUGACUCAGCCAGGAUUUGAACCCUCAUCCCCAGCUGUGCAGCCUGGAUGGACAGAUUGAUGGGUUUGACCCAGCGAGCCUCUCCGAUCCUUCUUGUUAUUUAACAGCAUCUUUUUUGCCAGACCAGAGAGCUGUUACUGAUACACUGUGGGGACUAAUAAUAACCUAAUCUCAAUUUCUGAUGGACUAAACAUACACGGCGUGUUCUGAGGUUGCUCUGGAGCCAUCGCUCGCGCUGCGCUCUGUGGCAGCAGCAGGGCAUCCUUUGAGUGCGCGCGGCACGUGGUGCUCGGUGAUGCUGUCAGGUGCUUUGGGAUAGGGAGGUAAAAAUAAAUACGUUCCCAGGGGGAUUGAGUGAGGCUGGGGUGUAAUUACCUGAGCUGGAGCCGAGCCAGGAGCUAACCUGUAUUGCAAAUUCUUUGCAUUACUUCAGAUAUCUGCUAACGAAGUGAUUAUAAAAACCAUAUUUAGAGAAGAUUAGAAGGUAUGUAAUAGAUACACAUACGUAAUUAGCCAUAAUAGAUCUGCAUUGAUUACACUGCUGUUAAUCCUCCUCUAAAUAUGUGCACAUUAAUUAGUUGGCAUUUAACAUAUAUACAAUUAUUUUAGGAACAGAAACAGGUCGGUGAGCGCAGCAGAGAGCGGGGCGCCCAUUCAGCUUCCAGAAUGCAUUUCUCCCUUUGCAGCAGCACCUACCUGAGGUGUGCGUUCACCACUCCGGGCCUUGUAGAAAGAACAAAACCAUCCGAGGCCAAAACGCUGCAGCAUCCAGCUCCCCACAUGGUGACAAGCACCAGAAGUGCAACGGGGGAGGAUCUUGCCAAAACAUCAUUCUUUUUGCGUAAAAUAUUUUCCUGUAACUACGGAACCUCCCCCAGGUGAGCGCUGCAGAGCGGCUGCAUGUCCCUUCUUCCCAGUCACAAUCCUGCAAGAUGCAACAACACCCGAUCUGCCCAGGUUCUGCUAUGCAGGGUGAUGAGGAGAUCCGGGCGACUUUGGGCACCCAAGUGGCUCAGGGUGCCCUGCUGCCCUGCAAGCAAUGAACCGCCCCCAAGCCACCGUCAUUAGCAACCCAGCAAGGCGUGAUGGCUAAAGCAGCCAGGCUGCUCUGCUUGUUGUGUGUUGGCAGAACGCAUGAAUCAUGACACAGAUCCUGUUUCAUGCAACAUAAAAAAAACCCUCUCCACAAAUCCAGCAAUUAGCCUCCAAUUUGCUUUCUCCAUUAAUGGGAAACGGAGUCUCUCUGGGAUGCUCUGACGAGAUCCUGUUUUCUUCAUCAGUUCAAAACUUCUCUCUCCAAUUUAUUUUUUCCACCCUUCCCUGAAUGUAUUUCCCACAGCAAAAAUGAAUGAAUGAAUGAAUGAAUGAAUGAAUAAAUAAAUAAACAAAUAAAUCUCA